GAUGAAGAACGUAGCGAAAUGCGAUAAGUAAUGUGAAUUGCAGAAUUCAGUGAAUCAUCGAAUCUUUGAACGCACAUUGCGCCCUUUGGUAUUCCGAAGGGCAUGCCUGUUCGAGCGUCAUUAUAACCACUCACGCUUUCGCGUGGUCUUGGGGCACGCGGUCUCGCGGCUCCUAAAACCAGUGGCGGUGCCUGUCGGCUCUACGCGUAGUAAUACUCCUCGCGAUUGAGUCCGGCGGGUGGCUUGCCAGCAACCCCCCAAAUUUUUCAGGUUGACCUCGGAUCAGGUAGGGAUACCCGCUGAACUUAAGCAUAUCAAUAAGCGGAGGA
rnacentral:misc_RNA from 1 species